GAGCGGCUGCCGGCAGGACAGACCCCUCCGGCCUGGCGCUGGCUCUGCCGGAGCCGGGGAGAGCUCGGACCGCUCAAAGCGUGCUGUGGUGGGAGCAGAGGCCGCUGCAGGGACCCACGCCGGCUCCUGCAGCCCCGUGGGCGAGACGGUGGAGCCGGCCUGGCCGGGCACGGGCAGCGACGGCCAUCCCGGUGCCAGGUGGCUGUGCCGACGCGUGGGGAAGGCUCAUCCCGGUGCCCGGGCGAGGAGCACAGCCCCGAGGCGGUGAGCGCCGGGGGACACCGGCGGCGAGGACGUGCCCGGUGAGGGACGGACGGACGGAUGGACGG